rnacentral:rRNA from 1 species
GACGAACGCUGGCGGCGUGCUUAACACAUGCAAGUCGAACGGACAGGCCCUGCUUUUGUUGGGUGCUCGAGUGGCGAACGGGUGAGUAACACGUGAGUAACCUGCCCUUGACUUUGGGAUAACUUCUGGAAACUGGGGCUCAUACCGGAUAGGAGCUCCUGCUGCAUGGUGGGGGUUGGUAAGAUUCGGCGGUUGGGGAUGGACUCGCGGCUUAUCAGCUUGUUGGUGGGGUAGUGGCUUACCAAGGCUUUGACGGGUAGCCGGCCUGGGAGGGUGACCGGCCACAUUGGGACUGAGAUACGGCCCAGACUCCUACGGGAGGCAGCAGUGGGGAAUAUUGCACAAUGGGCGGAAGCCUGAUGCAGCAACGCCGCGUGCGGGAUGACGGCCUUCGGGUUGUAAACCGCUUUCGCCGGUGACGAAGCGUGAGUGACGGUAAUGGGUAAAGAAGCACCGGCUAACUACGUG